rnacentral:rRNA from 1 species
CCUACGGGGGGCAGCAGUGGGGAAUAUUGGACAAUGGGGGGAACCCUGAUCCAGCCAUGCCGCGUGUGUGAAGAAGGCCCUCGGGUUGUAAAGCACUUUCAGUGAGGAAGAACGCCUGGUGGUUAAUACCCAUCAGGAAAGACAUCACUCACAGAAGAAGCACCGGCUAACUCCGUGCCAGCAGCCGCGGUAAUACGGAGGGUGCGAGCGUUAAUCGGAAUUACUGGGCGUAAAGCGCGCGUAGGUGGCUUGAUAAGCCGGUUGUGAAAGCCCCGGGCUCAACCUGGGAACGGCAUCCGGAACUGUCAAGCUAGAGUGCAGGAGAGGAAGGUAGAAUUCCCGGUGUAGCGGUGAAAUGCGUAGAGAUCGGGAGGAAUACCAGUGGCGAAGGCGGCCUUCUGGACUGACACUGACACUGAGGUGCGAAAGUGUGGGUAGCAAACAGGAUUAGAUACCCUGGUAGUC